UACGUAGGUGGCAAGCGUUGUCCGGAUUUACUGGGCGUAAAGAGCGCGCAGGCGGUCGAUCAAGUCGAGUGUGAAAGCCCCCGGCUCAACUGGGGAGGGUCAUUCGAUACUGAUCGACUCGAAGGCAGGAGAGGGUAGUGGAAUUCCCGGUGUAGUGGUGAAAUGCGUAGAUAUCGGGAGGAACACCAGUGGCGAAGGCGACUUCCUGGCCUGUUCUUGACGCUGAGGCGCGAAAGCUAGGGGAGCAAACGGG
rnacentral:rRNA from 1 species